CCUACGGGUGGCAGCAGUGGGGGAUAUUGGACAAUGGGGGAAACCCUGAUCCAGCGAUGCCGCGUGAGGGAAGAAGGUUUUCGGAUUGUAAAACUCUGUGGAGGGGGGCGAUAAUGACGGUACCCCUUUAGGAAGCCACGGCUAACUACGUGCCAGCAGCCGCGGUAAUCCGUAGGUGGCGCGCGUUGUCCGGAAUUACUGGGUGUAAAGGGAGUGUAGGCGGGAAAGCAAGUCAGAAGUGAAAACUAUGGGCUUAACCCAUAGCCUGCUUUUGAAACUGUUUUUCUUGAGUGAAGUAGAGGCAAGCGGAAUGCCUAGUGUAGCGGUGAAAUGCGUAGAUAUUAGGAGGAACACCAGUGGCGAAGACGGCCUGCUGGACGACAACUGACGGUGAGGCGCGAAAGCGUGGGGAGCAAACAGGAUUAGAUACCCCAGUAGUC
rnacentral:rRNA from 1 species